CGGCAAGAGCUCAAAUUUGAAAUCUGGCCCCCCUGGGGUCCGAGUUGUAAUUUGGAGAGGAUGCUUUGGGUGUGGCCCCUAUCUAAGUGCCCUGGAACGGGCUGUCACAGAGGGUGAGAAUCCCGUCUGGGAUAGGUGGCUCGGCCUGUGUGAAGCUCCUUCGA
rnacentral:rRNA from 1 species